rnacentral:misc_RNA from 1 species
UUUNGUUUGCCCCUUCCCAUCCGGUGCUCCUUGUGGGUUGCCGGAGGGCCUCAUAGUAGUYUGCAUGUUCCAUGAGAGCGUCGCCUUGGUGUGACCUCCCAAGGCCCAUGCGGAUCUACUGCUCUUUUGGAUGCGGUUUAUGCGGUGGUUGCGUGACAGAUGUCAAAUCCGUCCACGCACACAAAAAUUUGGUUUGCCCGAAUGAUGUCCGUGCUUGUGUCGGUCCGCCUUGCCUAGCAAGCUGAUCCCGUGCAGUGCCCGGCAUCACAGAGGAAUGCUACCUGGUUGAUCCUGCCAGUAGUCAUAUGCUUGUCUCA